rnacentral:rRNA from 1 species
UACGUAGGCAGCAAGCGUUGUUCGGAGUUACUGGGCGUAAAGGGUGCGUAGGCGGCCCUGUAAGUAUGGUGUGAAAUCUCCCGGCUUAACUGGGAGGGUGCGCUAUAGACUGCGGGGCUCGAGUGUGGGAGAGGAAAGUGGAAUUCCUGGUGUAGCGGUGAAACGCGUAGAUAUCAGGAGGAACACCGGUGGUGUAAACGGCUUUCUGGACCAUAACUGACGCUGAGGCACGAAAGCGUGGGUAGCAAACAGG